rfam:Metagenome sequence 3634298_fasta.screen.Contig4450, whole genome shotgun sequence.
UACCGACGUUGCGAAACGUCGGGAUGAUCAUGCAGAAGUCAGCAGAGGCCAUAGUAGGUGCGCCUACCGAAGGGC